AGUAGGAUUAUUGAAUUAUAUGGUAAGUGUAUGUUUAACUUAAUAAGAAACUGCCAGACUGUUUUCUGGAGUGGCUAUUGCCAUUUUCAUUCCCAGUCAUAAU
rnacentral:pre_miRNA from 1 species